CAAGAAUGACAGGGGUGCCAAUAAGCGGCUGAGAUCAUACCCUUGAACCUGAUACGGUUAAUACCGGCGAAGGGAGUUAAUUGUUUUUUCUA
rnacentral:ncRNA from 2 species